rnacentral:piRNA from 1 species
UGUUUAAUGGUCCAGGUUGAAAUGCUACCU